rnacentral:rRNA from 1 species
UACGAAGGGGGCUAGCGUUGCUCGGAAUCACUGGGCGUAAAGGGUGCGUAGGCGGGUUUUUAAGUCAGGGGUGAAAUCCUGGAGCUCAACUCCAGAACUGCCUUUGAUACUGAGAAGCUCGAGUCCGGGAGAGGUGAGUGGAACUGCGAGUGUAGAGGUGAAAUUCGUAGAUAUUCGCAAGAACACCAGUGGCGAAGGCGGCUCACUGGCCCGGUACUGACGCUGAGGUGCGAAAGCGUGGGGAGCAAACAGG